rnacentral:sRNA from 1 species
AGUUGUCAGACGACUUGCAGUGAGCGUCAGGAGCACGUCCAGGAACUCCUCAGCAGCGCCUCCUUCAGCUCCACAGCCAGACGCCCUCAGACAGCAAAGCCUACCCCCGCGCCGCGCCCUGCCCGCCGCUGCGAUGCUCGCCCGCGCCCUGCUGCUGUGCGCGGUCCUGGCGCUCAGCCAUACAGCAAAUCCUUGCUGUUCCCACCCAUGUCAAAACCGAGGUGUAUGUAUGAGUGUGGGAUUUGACCAGUAUAAGUGCGAUUGUACCCGGACAGGAUUCUAUGGAGAAAACUGCUCAACACCGGAAUUUUUGACAAGAAUAAAAUUAUUUCUGAAACCCACUCCAAACACAGUGCACUACAUACUUACCCACUUCAAGGGAUUUUGGAACGUUGUGAAUAACAUUCCCUUCCUUCGAAAUGCAAUUAUGAGUUAUGUGUUGACAUCCAGAUCACAUUUGAUUGACAGUCCACCAACUUACAAUGCUGACUAUGGCUACAAAAGCUGGGAAGCCUUCUCUAACCUCUCCUAUUAUACUAGAGCCCUUCCUCCUGUGCCUGAUGACUGCCCGACUCCCUUGGGUGUCAAAGGUAAAAAGCAGCUUCCUGAUUCAAAUGAGAUUGUGGAAAAAUUACUUCUAAGAAGAAAGUUCAUCCCUGAUCCCCAGGGCUCAAACAUGAUGUUUGCAUUCUUUGCCCAGCACUUCACGCAUCAGUUUUUCAAGACAGAUCAUAAGCGAGGGCCAGCUUUCACCAACGGGCUGGGCCAUGGGGUGGACUUAAAUCAUAUUUACGGUGAAACUCUGGCUAGACAGCAUAAACUGCGCCUUUUCAAGGAUGGAAAAAUGAAAUAUCAGAUAAUUGAUGGAGAGAUGUAUCCUCCCACAGUCAAAGAUACUCAGGCAGAGAUGAUCUACCCUCCUCAAGUCCCUGAGCAUCUACGGUUUGCUGUGGGGCAGGAGUUCUUUGGUCUGGUGCCUGGUCUGAUGAUGUAUGCCACAAUCUGGCUGCGGGAACACAACAGAGUAUGCGAUGUGCUUAAACAGGAGCAUCCUGAAUGGGGUGAUGAGCAGUUGUUCCAGACAAGCAGGCUAAUACUGAUAGGUAAACAAGAAAAUGAUUUAUAUAAAACCCUCUUCCCCAGGGAAAAUUAGUGUGCUAUCUUUGUUAUGUUUUGAGUAAAUGACAAGAUAUGGUAAAUGAAAACUCACACAUUCUAUAUACAUUAAAUAUGUAAGCAUGACUGAUCAUAUAGCUAUCUUUUGAUACUGACAAGGAAGAAAACAGAAAUGAAGGAAUAGCAAAUUUUAAAAAUUGCAUUCCAAUUGCUUGAAAGCUUGUGAUCAGAUGCAAUAAAUGUUUUUAUUAUUUAUUUUGUGCAAAUAGGAGAGACUAUUAAGAUUGUGAUUGAAGAUUAUGUGCAACACUUGAGUGGCUAUCACUUCAAACUGAAAUUUGACCCAGAACUACUUUUCAACAAACAAUUCCAGUAUCAAAAUCGUAUUGCUGCUGAAUUUAACACCCUCUAUCACUGGCAUCCCCUUCUGCCUGACACCUUUCAAAUUCAUGACCAGAAAUACAACUAUCAACAGUUUAUCUACAACAACUCUAUAUUACUGGAACAUGGAAUUACCCAGUUUGUUGAAUCAUUCACCAGGCAAAUUGCUGGCAGGGUUGCUGGUGGUAGGAAUGUUCCACCCGCAGUACAGAAAGUAUCACAGGCUUCCAUUGACCAGAGCAGGCAGAUGAAAUACCAGUCUUUUAAUGAGUACCGCAAACGCUUUAUGCUGAAGCCCUAUGAAUCAUUUGAAGAACUUACAGGAGAAAAGGAAAUGUCUGCAGAGUUGGAAGCACUCUAUGGUGACAUCGAUGCUGUGGAGCUGUAUCCUGCCCUUCUGGUAGAAAAGCCUCGGCCAGAUGCCAUCUUUGGUGAGACCAUGGUAGAAGUUGGAGCACCAUUCUCCUUGAAAGGACUUAUGGGUAAUGUUAUAUGUUCUCCUGCCUACUGGAAGCCAAGCACUUUUGGUGGAGAAGUGGGUUUUCAAAUCAUCAACACUGCCUCAAUUCAGUCUCUCAUCUGCAAUAACGUGAAGGGCUGUCCCUUUACUUCAUUCAGUGUUCCAGAUCCAGAGCUCAUCAAAACAGUCACCAUCAAUGCAAGUUCUUCCCGCUCCGGACUAGAUGAUAUCAAUCCCACAGUACUACUAAAAGAACGUUCGACUGAACUGUAGAAGUCUAAUGAUCAUAUUUAUUUAUUUAUAUGAACCAUGUCUAUUAAUUUAAUUAUUUAAUAAUAUUUAUAUUAAACUCCUUAUGUUACUUAACAUCUUCUGUAACAGAAGUCAGUACUCCUGUUGCGGAGAAAGGAGUCAUACUUGUGAAGACUUUUAUGUCACUACUCUAAAGAUUUUGCUGUUGCUGUUAAGUUUGGAAAACAGUUUUUAUUCUGUUUUAUAAACCAGAGAGAAAUGAGUUUUGACGUCUUUUUACUUGAAUUUCAACUUAUAUUAUAAGAACGAAAGUAAAGAUGUUUGAAUACUUAAACACUGUCACAAGAUGGCAAAAUGCUGAAAGUUUUUACACUGUCGAUGUUUCCAAUGCAUCUUCCAUGAUGCAUUAGAAGUAACUAAUGUUUGAAAUUUUAAAGUACUUUUGGUCAUUUUUCUGUCAUCAAACAAAAACAGGUAUCAGUGCACUACUAAAUGAAUAUUUAAAUUAGACAUUACCAGUAAUUUCAUGUCUACUUUUUAAAAUCAGCAAUGAAACAAUAAUUUGAAAUUUCUAAAUUCAUAGGGUAGAAUCACCUGUAAAAGCUUGUUUGAUUUCUUAAAGUUAUUAAACUUGUACAUAUACCAAAAAGAAGCUGUCUUGGAUUUAAAUCUGUAAAAUCAGUAGAAAUUUUACUACAAUUGCUUGUUAAAAUAUUUCAUAAGUGAUGUUCCUUUUUCACCAAGAGUAUAAACAUUUUUAGUGUGACUGUUAAAACUUCCUUUUAAAUCAAAAUGCCAAAUUUAUUAAGGUGGUGGAGCCACUGCAGUGUUAUCUUAAAAUAAGAAUAUUUUGUUGAGAUAUUCCAGAAUUUGUUUAUAUGGCUUGUAACAUGUAAAAUCUAUAGCAGCAAAAGGGUCUACCUUUAAAAUAAGCAAUAACAAAGAAGAAAACCAAAUUAUAGUUCAAAUUUAGGUUUAAACUUUUGAAGCAAACUUUUUUUUAUCCUUGUGCACUGCAGGCCUGGUACUCAGAUUUUGCUAUGAGGUUAAUGAAGUACCAAGCUGUGCUUGAAUAACGAUAUGUUUUCUCAGAUUUUCUGUUGUACAGUUUAAUUUAGCAGUCCAUAUCACAUUGCAAAAGUAGCAAUGACCUCAUAAAAUACCUCUUCAAAAUGCUUAAAUUCAUUUCACACAUUAAUUUUAUCUCAAGUCUUGAAGCCAAUUCAGUAGGCGCAUUGGAAUCAAGCCUGGCUACCUGCAUGCUGUUCCUUUUCUUUUCUUCUUUUAGCCAUUUUGCUAAGAGACACAGUCUUCUCAUCCCUUCAUUUCUCCUAUUUUGUUUUACUAGUUUUAAGAUCAGAGUUCACUUUCUUUGGACUCUGCCUAUAUUUUCUUACCUGAACUUUUGCAAGUUUUCAGGUAAACCUCAGCUCAGGACUGCUAUUUAGCUCCUCUUAAGAAGAUUAAAAGAGAAAAAAAAG